UACGUAGGCGGAAUUGAAAGUCAGAAGUGAAAUCCCGGGGCUCAACCCCGGAACUGCUUUUGAAACUCCAAUUCUGGAGUCCCGGAGAGGUUAGCAGAAUUCCGAGUGUAGAGGUGAAAUUCGCAGAUAUUCGGAGGAAUACCAGUGGCGAAGGCGGCUAACUGGACGGGUACUGACGCUGAGGUACGAAAGCGUGGGGAGCAAACA
rnacentral:rRNA from 1 species